CAAGGGAGAAGAAGCUCUCCUAGAGCAAGUGAAGGGAAGAGGCCUGAAUAAGUUCUGCUCUGGAUUGAAGAGCAAAAGGAAAGCUUGAAUUUCUAUCCAUUGGAUACUGGACACAGAGAAUGAGCAGCAAUGCUCCUGGGUUGGAAGAGAAGGAAAAGGUGGAUCUAGGAUUUUGAGAAGCUGGGUGUUUGACAAUGACUGGUGCUGCAGGGAUGGCUGCAAGCUCUUGCUUCCAGCCACCCCCAACCACUAGGGUGGGCAGACCACACUGCAGGAGCAGCCAGAACAUUUUCAAAGUCCAUA